UUAAACCAAUAAAAACUUAUUGAAAUAUAUAUUUGCUGUGAUGAGCAAUUACUUUCGCCCCUAACUGAAAAUAUCUAACUGUUGAAUGCGAUUGAUUGGUCUUACUGAAUUCAGCAAUGUCUAUACACACAUACAUUAAGCUUAUUUUCUUUACUCAAAAAGUUGUAUUUCUCAUUGCAGAUUUGUUUAUUGGAUGUGGUCUUCCGAAGUCAUUAAAUUAUAUAAAGAAUUUCAGAUUACCUGUUCGUUAAUUGCAUUCGUUCCGUUAGUUGCAGCCAUUUUAUGAAAUUUUUGUUGUUGGCUGCGAGCGCUUCAUACUGUUUAUACGUGGCAAAUCGCCAUGCAAAUUUUAUAUUAUACGGGAAGUGGAAAACUUUUGUGUAGCCUUAAAUAUUCGUAUUAUCACGUCACUUUUGAAUAUAAACCAAUAUUUUUCUGUGCCAGAGGCUAUGUUAGAAAUCAGAGGAUGAAUCAGAUAAACAUAUUCAGGAAACAAAACUCUCCACUUUCCCGAUGUAAUCGUUGGUUUGCAAUAAUUUUUUUUCGCAAAUAAAUCCGGAAAUUAAAGUGCUUGGUGAACAUGAAUCUUAGGAAGACUAUUGGUUAAAUUUUCAGGUAAUUUUUGAUUGCUUAACAAUAUAUUUAUACAACUUAAUCAACUGCUUUUGAUGAAACAAGGAAAGCUGAUUUUUGUGGCAUGAUUCACAAUAACCGCAACAAAACAUCCUCAAAAAUAGGUCCUACUGAUAAAUAGCUAAUAUAAAAAAAAAUAUAUAUUUUUUAAUGAACACAUUUUUUAACUAAUAAUUGUGUUUUUUAUCAACAGUUUUCUCCACUCAACCAACUCUACAAAAAGGUAUGUAUGUAUUUACACUGAUGACGUUAAUUGCGAAACGGAGGGUUUGAGAUGUCAAAUUAUUACUGUUGCAUUGUAAACAAAUCCAUUAAAUUGUGUAAUUAUAACUAAAUAAAGAGUUUUGAAUAAAUUGAGAAAAAU